CAUAUCGAUCAGGUCACACCUCACCACCCAUAUUAAUCAGGUCACAUCUCACGCCCCAUAUUGAUCAGGUCACACCCUAACACCCAUAUUGAUCAGGUCACACAUCACCACCCAUAUUAAUCAGGUCACACCACACCACCCUUAUUGAUCAGGUCACACCUCACCAUCCACAAUGGUCCACUCACACCUCACCACCCAUAUUAAAUCAGGUCACACCCUACCACCCAUAUUGAUCAGGUCACACCUUACCACCCAUAUUGAUCAGGUCACACCUCACCAUCAUAUCAAUCAGGUCACACCUCAGCACCCACAUU
ensembl:lncRNA